rnacentral:rRNA from 1 species
UACGUAGGGUGCAAGCGUUAAUCGGAAUUACUGGGCGUAAAGCGUGCGCAGGCGGUUGUGCAAGACAGAUGUGAAAUCCCCGGGCUUAACCUGGGAACUGCAUUUGUGACUGCACGGCUAGAGUGUGUCAGAGGGGGGUAGAAUUCCACGUGUAGCAGUGAAAUGCGUAGAGAUGCGGAGGAACACCGAUGGCGAAGGCAGCCCCCUGGGCCGACACUGACGCUCAGGCACGAAAGCGUGGGGAGCAAACAGG